rnacentral:rRNA from 1 species
CUUGGUAGAGACUGUUGAAGCCACCUGGUCCCAGCAGACCCCAGAAGGCAGCCACAUUCGCUGGUGCUGGGGGUAAGGUUGUUAAAGGUGAAGCUGCAGCAGGCUGGCACCUGGC